rnacentral:misc_RNA from 1 species
UCACGAUUUACACCGGCAGUUUUGUUAGAGUCCCCGGCUUUACCCGAUGGCAACUAACAAUAAGGGUUGCGCUCGUUAUAGGACUUAACCAAACACUUCACAGCACGAACUGAAGACAACCAUGCAGCACCUUGUAUUACGUCUUAUAGACUAAGUUGUUUCCAGCUUAUUCGGAAUACAUUUAAGCCUUGGUAAGGUUCCUCGCGUAUCAUCGAAUUAAACCACAUGCUCCACCGCUUGUGCGGAACCCCGUCAAUUCCUUUGAGUUUCAAUCUUGCGAUCGUACUUCCCAGGUGGAUCACUUAUCGCUUUAGCUUAGCCACUGAAUAUAGUCUUUCCAAUAGCUAGUGAUCAUCGCUUAUGGCGUGGACUAU